UACAGAGGGUGCUAGCGUUGUUCGGAAUCAUUGGGCGUAAAGGGCGUGUAGGCGGUUUGUUAAGUCAUGUGUGAAAUCCCUCGGCUCAACCGGGGAACGACGCAUGAAACUGGCAAGCUAGAGUACCAAAGAGGGGGGUGGAAUUCCUGGUGUAGCGGUGAAAUGCGCAGAUAUCAGGAGGAACACCAAUGGCGAAGGCAGCUCGCUGGAACGGUACUGACGCUGAGGCGCGAAAGCGUGGGGAGCGAACAGG
rnacentral:rRNA from 1 species